AAAGUCCAAUAUUCUAACCUUAUUCCUCUAAAGGGUCUGAUAGCAAAACAUAACAUGAAAGUCUAUCCCUUAUCACCGAAGUGAAUCUUGAGGUAAAGCCAAUACGUCACUGAAACCCGUUAUGGCUAGAGUGGCAGUAUGGGUGGAACAAAAUUCCAAGGGAAACUGGUUGGUUGAAUAGGCCCAGGCCCCAAGGGAAUCUCAUCCAAAGUUAUGUUUGAAUGAUGCAUAGGGAGAAAUGAUUUAAAAUCUCCAUCACCUAAAAGAGGGAUCACAGUAAAUGGAUGUAUAAAAGAUACAUGAACUCUCAAGUGGAGUUACUUCUGUCAGCAAUACGGGUUUCUCUUCUAGCGCUUGUCUCAAUGUUGAGAUUCAAUGUUUAAUUAUAAAUGGGCAAUCAAUUUUUUGGCCAAAGUCAAUCAAUUUAUUUAUGAAUGGAAAAUUGAUGCUGAUUUUCAAGAUCACAGUCUUAUCUUUAUUAAAGAAUUUGGUUUUGAUAUAGUAAACAGGAUAUUAGAGAAAUCGAAACUCAAAAUCUUAUAGGGAUAAAUCCAAUAUCUAUUUAUCUAUUUUAUAUCAAAUCACGAUUGACUUAAAAAUUAAAGAUCAUGUCUCUCAUUUUAUUCCAGAUAACAAGAGAUUUAUAUAAAUAAUUUAUAUGUCCCGCACUGUUACAUAUAUAUCUAGACAGAUACGUAUAGGUUUGGCAGCCUCAGGUGAUUUAUCAACCAUUAGAAUGAUGCUGGCAUUGUAUUAUCAAGCAAAUAUAUAUAAAGUACAACAGUUUGUGCCUUAUUAUUAUAAAGUGGGAAAGUGUAACAAGAGAAGUAUGGAAUCCAACUAAGUAUAAAUGGCAUAUUAUAAUGAAAAUUUAUAUAAGGUGCCUCGAAGGCAUAUUUAUACAACCCAUUUCAUACACUUAAUUUAUAUGACAAGAUUCUGUAGAUGUAAAUUUACAUAAAAAAAUCCAUCACCUUUAAUGGUAAAAUAAAUCGUAAUUUUAGCUAUAUGUCAUAGCAUCAUGUGUUCUUAAGAAUACACAAUCAUGAUCAUGGAUGAAAUGUCUCGUGCUUUUAACUUCAAGAGAGACCUAAAAUGCUUAAGUUUUGGGAAGAAUACUUGAGCAGAUCACCUAGUACAAGAUUCGAGAUGAAUUAGAGUGCUAAGGUGGAACAGAAGAACCAGCAACCGCAAUCUAGAUUGAGGGCUGAUCAAUGACAGAGGGAGAUGAUCUACGGUAGAAGCAACAAUGGAUCCAUCGGCUAAUGGGAGUUUCGAUUGGUUGAGGUCUAUAACCUGGGUUUCCUGUACCGAUUAACUCCAUGAUGUACCGAGUGAUUAUCACAGAUAAAUUUGAUUGUCAAGCUAGAUCUUAGGACGAACAAAGUUCCUAGCUUAUUAACAAAUUUGAUGAUAGGUUAAAAGGGGUUUCUUCACGUUUUAAAUGGUGAAUAGGAAGACUUUAAAGAUAAAGAGACGUCUAUGGUGAUGUUAAGAUAAUAAUGGGCAACGUUUGAGGAACUUGAAACGUUAUGAAAGAGUGAAUUAUUUUGGGAUGUCAACAAUACUCUUGGUUAUUUGGUGAGUAAAAUGUUUUUGUAUUAGGGAUUUGGAAUGAUUGAUGGUUUUUUAUUUAGCCUAUGUUUUGAAUUGAUCAUAACUUUUGUUUGGUUAAGUUAUGAAAAGGAAAGAAAAUGAAAUAUUAUAUUAUAUUGCUCUAAUUAUACUCUUUUAAAAUAAAAUAUUUUUUAUCAUGUGAAUAAUCUUAAUAUUAACUAUUUUAAAAAUUUUUAAAAAUUAAUAAAAAUAAUUUCAAUUAAAAAGAAUAUUAUUAAUAAUUAAUUCAUAAAAAUAUAUGCUUAGAAUUAUUUUUAUACUAUAAUAUUUUUUAAAAAAUUAAUCUAUAAAUGAGAAAAUUAAAAACUUAAAUAUUUAUUGUUAAAAUAAAACUAACCAUAAAUUUGUUUAGUAUUAGCAUUUUCUUGCUGUUGUACGUAUUUUGUCAUAUUUUUAUUAUUUAAAAUUUGUAAAGUCAUAACAAAAUGAAAAAAAAAAAACCUAAGUAUAAAUUAAAAAUAUAUAAAAUUUGAAGUUAUGGACAAAAAAAAGUUGAGAAUAAAUUACGAAAGAUUUAAAGGUAACGUUAAUGGUUAACAUCCCUGGUUAAACUUGAAUAUUGUAAUAGUAUUUUUUAAAAAAUGAUAAAAUAUAAUGAAGACAUUUAUACUUAAAAAAUUUUAAUUAAUUCCUUUUUUCCUAUUUACACCAAUUUAGGAUAAUUAACAAUUGAAGCUUUUGAGAAAAAAGGAGAGAUAAUCAAUUUUAUUUUAUUUUUAUUAAAAUAUAAAUGAUCAACCGAAUAAAAUUUUUUUUUUCUUAUUUCCCUUACUUUCCUUUUCUGUCUUCACUUUUUCUUUUUUUUCCCUCAUCUUCUUUCAAUCUAAACAUAACGUUAGUGUUUAUGCUAUGGAUUGUGUGUCGAUCGGCUAAAGGUCUGUUUAUUUGUUGAGUUUGUGUUUAAAGUUUUUAUGAAACAUUGACAAAUUGUUAGGGGAAAGUUUGGGAUAAACAGGAGGCUUUGGUUAAGAUUUUCGUUCCCUCAUCUUCUUUCAAUCUAAACGUAGUGUUAGAGUUUAUACUAUGGACAGUGUGUCGAUCGGCUAAAGGUUUGUUGAUCUGUUGGGCUUGUGUUUUUGGUUUCCAUAAAAUAUUGACAAAUUGUUAGACAAAAAUUUGGGAUAAACGGGAGGCUUUGGUUAAGGUUUUGGACUAUUUCGAUAGCUGGGCAACUUAGGAAACCUAUUUUAAGGGACAGAAAUGGAAGAAACUUAAAGAUUUCUUCAAAAUUUUAGGAAAGACUUUUGGAGAGAUUUAUAAUUGAAUUUCUUGUAAAAGGAGAAAAAAUAACUAGAGGUUUGUUAAAUGAAAAAAUAGAUAGGACUAUUUAUAGACAAAGAUUAAGGCCAAUUUGAGAAUGAUUAGACCUUUUAUCUGUUAUCUUAUAAUUCUUUUGGAUAAUUAUCUCAGGAAUUAUCCAGUUAAUAAUUCAUUAGAAUUAUCACCUUCAUCCUUAUCGUACAAUGCGAAUCGAUAGGGAUAGAGCACUGUCGACUGACGAGGUCUUCUUUUCAAUCGAGUGGUGGAUGUGUAUGUCGAUCGGUGUCCUUCGCUUGGACUUAUUUUAAGCCCAAAAUUAUGUCCAAUUUAUAAUCUUAUUUCAAAUUGUUCCAAAUCCAUCCUCUGUUGGGGUUGAGAUAGGCCUGUCAAUUGGUCAGAG
rnacentral:lncRNA from 1 species